UGUUAAGAGGUUGCCUCUGUCGUUACCUGCUCAAGCAGAUACGGGAAUGCAACUGUUGA
rnacentral:sRNA from 12 species